AGGGUUUCACCAUGUUGGCCAGGCUGAUCUUAAAUUCCUAACCUCGUGAUCUGCCCACCUCAGCCUCCCAAAGAUUACAGGCGUGAGGCACAGUGCCAGGCCUUGUUUGAUGUUUUCAGAUUCACACUUUAUCUUACAUGUAGAAUGGCCGAAUUACUUACUUCUUUAUGUUCUACAGGUCUUUGUUCAUACUAGAAUAGCAUUUAUUAUCCCAAAGGUCAUGGUUUGACUGCUUUUGUGUUCCAUGCACACUGUAGGCACUCAGUAAAGAGCUGCCUUGGUUUUUUGCUUGGCGGUCUUAAUAGACGCAUUUUAUACUGAGGUUUUAAACUGUCGUCAUUGCUAAAAACUAGAUUUGUCAACUUGUUUAGUACCUCAUCAUCGGCUUACUGUGGAUUCUGCUACCUUGACCAACAAGGUAGCAGAGUUUUAACUAUAAUUUCUUCUUUAAUAAGACGUUUUCUGAGGCAGGUAAACUGGAAGUAUAUUGAUACUUCUUAUACAGUAGAAUAUGAAAGUGUGGCACGUGGCAUCUUGAAAGUACUUUAAAUUGUGUACCUUUGAGUUCUACACUGAAAAAUAAAACGGCUACAAACAACUUGACACCCUUUCCUGCCCUCAAAUUGUUUAGAACUGAAAAUAGUGUUUCGUUGUACAUAUUUGUAUGCCAUAAAGUAAAAUUUUUUUAACAUCAGGAAACAUCUAAAUAUAUUACCAGUUCUUUAAGAAUAAACCCCCCUUCCCUUAUGUAUUAUACUAUUACUAAUUACUUU